GAUGAACGCUAGCGGCAGGCUUAACACAUGCAAGUCGAGGGGCGGCGCGAUGUAGCAAUACAUUGGCGGCGACCGGCGCACGGGUGCGUAACACGUAUGGAAUCUGCCCUUUACUGGGGGAUAGCCCGGAGAAAUCCGGAUUAAUACCCCACUAAUAAUCGAGGUGGCAUCACCUUGAUUUGAAAGCUCCGGCGGUAAAGGAUGACCAUGCGCACGAUUAGCUAGUAGGUGAGGUAACGGCUCACCUAGGCUACGAUCGUUAGGGGGCCUGAGAGGGUUAUCCCCCACCACUGGUACUGAGACACGGACCAGACUCCUACGGGAGGCAGCAGUGAGGAAUAUUGCGCAAUGGAGGCAACUCUGACGCAGCCAUGCCGCGUGCAGGAAGAAGGCGCUACGCGUUGUAAACUGCUUUUAACCGGGAAGAAACCCCUCUACGUGUGGAGGGUUGACGUACCGGAGGAAUAAGCACCGGCUAACUUCGUG
rnacentral:rRNA from 1 species